rnacentral:tRNA from 1 species
UCGGGAUGUAGCGCAGCCCGGUAGCGCACUUGCAUGGGGUGCAAGGGGUCGUGAGUUCGAAUCUCGCCAUCCCGACCCA